rnacentral:lncRNA from 1 species
ACGACGUUACAAUUUAAUAAAUAUUAAAUUUUCUCUUCACAAGUCACGGGCCAUUAUAAGUAUCAAAAAUGCCUAGUUUAUAGCCGAUUAACAGUAAAUUCCAUUUUUCUUUUCCCAGUUUAUAAAUGAGCUUUCAUGUGUCUGUUUAGUUUGUUAGUUGUACCCAAAGACUAAACCAAAGUUCCCGUGAAUUCUAUUACUGUGCAAGAGGUUAGUUGCAAGAUCAGUAUUUAUUGUAUUAUACCUACGCUUUACAUAUACACCUUCCAUACAAUAUAUGGCGAGGCGCAAAGUAAAGCAGGCAAUCUUCUGUUUAUUGUAUAAUCUGAGAACUUCUGAGACUUCAAUCUUCAGACCUAGCUCAAAAUUGCCGAGUGAUUCACUUGUAAACUGGAUUAAUCUCACUUCAAUCUUCAAAUCCUCGACCAUUUGAUAUAUCCAGUUUUUACGAUAAUGUCGAGUUUAAAGAAGUUAUUCACGUGCAACUGCCAUUCAGCUGAGAAAAAGGAAGGGUUUGUUCGUAAGAAUGGCUUACACUCACCCUUCUCGAAAGACCAGAUGAUAACUUUAAUAUUAAUAUUAUACAUCACCAUUGUUCUCUUUUCGACAAUGAUUCCUGCUGCGAAUAAAAACAUUCAACUAAUCGUCA